GACUAGCAUCAAGAGAAUUCGCGCCUUUACGGGGUUCGUCAAGAUGGCGGCCAAAGGGCAGCUGCUGACAUGGGAUAUGUCACCAAGAAAUGGCAGUGAAGUAUUUUUCUCACAUGAAAUUUAUGAAAAAUAUUCAUUGGCUCCAAGCCUUUCUGAACUAUGGCAUUUAUCAAACAGAGCAGCAAAGAAAAAUGUGGAGGCACUGGCAAACUCUGCAGAAAACAAACAGACUUGUGGCAUGCAAGCUGCAGAUCCAGAUGAGGUGGGAGCUAAAAGUACAACUGCUGAUCAUCCUUUUCCAGAACCUAGACUCCCUUAUCCAUUUACCUCUUGUCUGACUGAGAAGGAGCAGGAAACAUACUUGUAUCUGAUGACUAAGUUCUCAAAAAAAGGAAGCCAUUUUCAAGUUAAUGCAGCAAAUCAAAGAGAAUUAUUUACAUAUCUGCAAAUGAAAGAAGUUGUAAACAAGGAAACUGCAGAAUUCAUGAAAUUUGCCCAAAAUGCUGCAAAAAGCUGUGCCCAUGAUUAUGAUGCCAUCUCUGAGGAUGCACUACGUUAUACUGAGGAAUUAUUACAUGCUUGCAUUGGACAUGUGCAGAAGUAUCCUGAGUUUUACACACUUCAGGAGAUCAUGAGUAUCAUGGGAGGAAAGUUUCAUACACAGUUGACCUUUAAGCUGGAAAAAAAUCUUCUUGUAAUGGGUACAGCAAGACGUGGUAGAACAGAGUUCCCUGCUAUGCCUGUUCAACUGCCCACAGAUUAUAAAACUGUUACAUCUAUUAUAACUCCAGAAAAAAGGGCUUCUGUUAUGCACAGCGAUAUUAGUUCAGAUUCAAAUGCAGAAAAGCUUGCUUUGAAAUACAGCCCUCAAGUUGUUUUAAGUAAUCAAUCAUUAUUUACUUUACUGAAUAAUCAUGGACUAAACUACAAGGAGCAAUGGGAAAUCCCAGUUUGCAUUAAGAAGAUCCCCGUUGCAGGUAGAGAACCAGCUAAAGUGGUUUAUGUUGAUUCACCUCUGCUGAGAAAAGAAAUGACAGUGAGAGAGAGGAACCAAAUCUUCCAUGAAAUUCCAAUGGACUUCCUAGCAACUAAAACAUCUUAUGUUUCAAUUUCUGAUGUGUCGAUGGACAAACCAGCUGAGGACAACUUGUUUCAGUGGGAUAUGUCUUCUGAUACCUACGAGCACAGGAAGAUUCCCCUUCCAGAUGACGUGGGGAUGGACUUUGACGAUGAUGUUACUGAACUGGAAACUUUUGGAGCAACUGUCAAGCUCUCAAGAACUAAAGCAGAAAGUACUGCAGUUCUCUCAUGCGGCCCAAAAAUGGGAAAAAAAUGUACAACUACCACAAACAGUGAAGAUGAAGAAGGCAAAAACACCAUUUCUGAGCAAGGAGCUCCAGCGUGUGCCAGUAUGCAGCUUUCAUCAUUAGAUGGCGUUUUGUGCAUCAGCGGUGAAGAAACUUCAUCUCAUAAAAGCUUUAAUUCAGAGGAGGUAGGACUGAGCAAAGUACAGCAUGUAAUGACCAAAGAAGUAUUGGACAAUCAGGCAAAAUUAAAUGCUGUAUCUAAUGCUGUUAGUGACAAGAAAGAGUUUGAUGCUGCACAAAAAAAUGGGACUUGCACAUCUUUAUGUAGUAGUGACACGGAUGAAGAGCGUUUGAUAAUUGAUACGGAAUGUAAAAGCACUGAUUUUUGCAAAACACCUGUACCAAACACUGUUCCUCAUACUCCAGCAGAGACUGCCAAAUCGCCUUUCCCCACCCAGAUUCCAUUAGCAAGUAUGACAGAUUGCUCACAUAUCAUGGAGCAGGGAAAAACUGCCUCCAGAAAGCCUAACAAAAAGUUGUCCAAACAAUUUGAUCCUGUUGGACAGAUUUUAAAAAUGCAGACUAAACUUCUCAAGUCACCCUCCCCAAAAGCCCACGAGCAUCCAGUGGUGAGCUGCAGUAAUUCUAAUGCUGUGUCUCAGUCUCCAAAGGCAUUGGUGACCUCCAGCACAGAAACUGUGCCAGCCCCUGCCUCAAAUCUCAACAGCUCCUCUAGAAAUACCUGGACUUCGCUUUUUCAGGGCGUGCCAAAGAGAAAGCUGCCAAAUGAACUGCAGAUGCUUGAAGAAGACCCUUCAGAGUAUGAAGCCCCUCAAGAUGGCAACCUUGUCUAUAAGCUGUUCAGUUUGAAUGAUCUCUUGUUGCUUGUGCGUUGUACCGUGCAAAAAGUGAAGUCAUUGCCACGAAAGAAUAAAAAGAAGAAAACCUGCAAGCAUAUUCCAAUAUUCCUGUUGCCAAAACUAGAAUACCAAGCCUAUUAUGGUGUUGAAGCUCUUACAGAAAGUGAAGCAUGUCAGUUGUGGACAGAGAGUAUGUUGCAUUCUGAAUCCUUAUUUUAUAUUGGACAUAUUGAUGCUUUUACAUCAAAGCUGAUCAUGCUAGAAAAGAUUUCUGCAGAAACUUUAAGAGAAAAACUUGGACUGGUUAAGCCUGCAAAUUCACUAAAUAUACUUCAUAACAUUUUGAAGAAAGUGUCUGAUUUGCAGGAAGGCUCUUACCUGUUGGCUCAUGCUGCGGGAGAUUCAUCAGUUGCAAUCUACAAGAGUUCUCUUGACAAUACAACAAGAGCAUCAUAUAAUUUACAUAAAGCUCAUUGUGAUCUGCCUCCUGUACCUGCUACUCUUUCAGUCCCAUGGGUUCCAUUAGAUCCCAGUCUCCCUUUGCCCUAUCACAUAAACCAUGGAAGAGUUCCGUGUACUUUUCCACCUGCACCACGGGAAACUGUGUUGAAACAGAAGAUGACUGGGGUGAAAGGACAAUCAGACACACCCUGUGAGGGAAAGCCAGUAGCUAUGGAAACAAAAGGCAAUCCAGCUAAGCCUGUUAGAAAUGAAGGUGUGGCUACAAAGAAGUUCAAGAAUUACUGCAAGCAAAGGAUGAUGAAGAAAAGGUGGAAAAUGAAGUACAACAAAAUGCACCUGAAGUAGGUGUAGCUGAACCAUGCUGUGUUAACUAUGUUCUGGAGAAGGGCAAGACAAAUCGAAUUAUCUGAGGCUUAUUUUGCACAUUUCAAAGGAGCCAGAACAGAGUAUUGUUUUCAGAAGAGCACAUGAAUUCAUGAAAGCUUCAAGUUGAAUAAAGUCUUUCCUAUUUUUGCCAUUUAAACAACACAACUGUUUUAAAAUGUCUGAGCCAGUUUUUGUGUGAAUGAUGUUCUGGAGAGCUGUUUGCAUGCAUGCUUAAAAUGCCAACACAAAAAACCCUAAAGAUUUUGAAGAUGUUCUUCCAGGCCUUUAGUUUGGACAAAGGAAGUCACCAGGUAUACACAUGAAGCAUUCUUCUGCUCACUGGGCAUGUCAUGUUUUAAUG